rnacentral:lncRNA from 10 species
AUAACUUUAGAAUGUUAAGUGUAAUCUCCAUGGUAACCACAGAGAAAGUAGCUAUAGAAUAUACACAAAAGGAAAUGAGAAAGAAAUGUAAAUGCUUCACUAUAAAAAAAACAAAUACAUACGAAGAAAGUAAUGCAGGAAAUGAAGGACAAAAAGAAGCUAUAAGGAUUUGUAUUUGCAGAAGAGAUGGUUUACUUCCUCUGUGGGUAACCAGGUUCACAUGGCAUGAUUCCACUUCUUGGCUCCCAUGGGGAAAAGAAGACAAGUAAAGAGAUGAAGACUUCUUCCAGGAACCUGAGGUACUUCAUUGUCUGCAGAGAUGCCUCAUCCUACACCCCUCAGUCACUCAUAUCUGGAUACAUUGGACCUUGUCAACAUCAAUAAUGGACAUACCUCUGAUAUUUGAACUCUGAAUCUCACUCUGUGACCACAACUUUGUAUCUUUCUAAGUCUUUAAUCUUCAACCUCACAGAACUCUUCAUACCCUAAAAUAUAGUAUUUUCAC